CGGCGGACGGGUGAGUAACACGUGGAUAACCUACCUAUAAGACUGGGAUAACUUCGGGAAACCGGAGCUAAUACCGGAUAAUAUAUUGAACCGCAUGGUUCAAUAGUGAAAGACGGUUUUGCUGUCACUUAUAGAUGGAUCCGCGCCGCAUUAGCUAGUUGGUAAGGUAACGGCUUACCAAGUCAACGAUGCGUAGCCGACCUGAGAGGGUGAUCGGCCACACUGGAACUGAGACACGGUCCAG
rnacentral:rRNA from 1 species